CCCAACUCUGCUCGUCUUUCACCAUCACCAUAAUUGAAUAACUGAAUUCCAUCAUUUAAGCCUCUCCAACAAAAAGUAAAGAGACGCCCGCUUCACUUCAUCUUCCCCUAACCUCUCCAAUCCCAUACACACUACAUAGCCUUUCUGCUUUGCUCUCGGUGCGAACCAACGAACCACCACCGCCUGCCUCUGCCGGGAUUGUGGGUGCUCCGAUUGCAGUCAGCAGGUAUGUUGACUGAGGGAGGGAGAUAUUAUAGAUGCUGGUUAAUGAUCUGAUCAUGUGGAAUGAUGUGGCAAAAUCAACACUUUGAUUCGGGUUUGGGUGACUUUGUAUCCUGUCAUCCUGUUUCACAACCGGUGUUAGCUUCAGCAUGGUUGCUUUGGUAUCUCAAUUGGGUCUUCUCUGUUUGUGUGUUUUGUUCAUCUCCAACAUGAUUGCGCAAAGGAAUGGGAUUGAAAGCAAGAGAGAACUAAAGCUUAAAGAAGAGGAUAUUCUAAGAGCUGCUAGAGUUAUACUUCCUGCAGUAAAAUGAUUCAAGACGAAUAUAUAGUUAUAUAACAUUUUAAUGGGGGUUAAAGUUGCAUUUGGAUUACUCGGCAAUGACUAGAAAUCAAAAAAGGCAGCAAUGGUGGUGGUUUAGAGCAUGUUUACACGGAUGCAUGGGCAUCUGCAUAGAGUUCGGUUGCAGUUGGAGCUGCAUUAGUGGCUGAUUACGUGUAUUAACCUUCUUAAGAAGAGCUAGCAAUUGAUACCGGUUCUUUAAAAACCUUAAAGGGUGACACGUAUUAUAACGAACAUUUGAGGUAAAGGAUCAAAAUACUUGCGCAUUCAACUCUAAGAGCAACUUAAACAACAUUCUUGUUUUCUCAUGUAUACAAGAGAUGAUUGGGUCUCAGUCAAGUCAGUCAAUGAGCGGCCAAAGCAUGUCUAAGAUGGUCAACACGUCUGUCGAGGAGCUUGGGUGCGUUUCGGAUUAUAAACCAGUGACGC